UACGGAGGGUGCAAGCGUUAUCCGGAUUUACUGGGUUUAAAGGGUGCGUAGGUGGGUUGGUAAGUCAGUGGUGAAAUCUCCGAGCUUAACUUGGAAACUGCCAUUGAUACUAUCAGUCUUGAAUAUUGUGGAGGUUAGCGGAAUAUGUCAUGUAGCGGUGAAAUGCUUAGAUAUGACAUAGAACACCAAUUGCGAAGGCAGCUGGCUACACAUAUAUUGACACUGAGGCACGAAAGCGUGGGGAUCAAACAGG
rnacentral:rRNA from 1 species